rnacentral:rRNA from 1 species
UACGGAGGGUGCGAGCGUUAAUCGGAAUUACUGGGCGUAAAGCGCACGUAGGCGGUUUGUCGCGUCUGCUGUGAAAUCCGGAGGCUCAACCUCCGGCCUGCAGUGGGUACGGGCAGACUAGAGUGCGGUAGGGGAGAUUGGAAUUCCUGGUGUAGCGGUGGAAUGCGCAGAUAUCAGGAGGAACACCAGCGGCGAAGGCGGCGCUCUGGGCUGGCACUGACACUGAGGAGCGAAAGCGUGGGGGGCGAACAGG